rnacentral:rRNA from 1 species
UACGUAGGGUGCAAGCGUUGUCCGGAAUUAUUGGGCGUAAAGAGCUCGUAGGCGGUUUGUCGCGUCUGCUGUGGAAACUCGGGGCUUAACUCCGGGCCUGCAGUGGGUACGGGCAGACUAGAGUGCGGUAGGGGAGACUGGAAUUCCUGGUGUAGCGGUGAAAUGCGCAGAUAUCAGGAGGAACACCGGUGGCGAAGGCGGGUCUCUGGGCCGUAACUGACGCUGAGGAGCGAAAGCGUGGGGAGCGAACAGG